UUUGUUUUUUUUCCCAACACUUCCAGGAAUCCCUGGUUGCAUAGGUCCAGGUUGUCUCCCUAAGUCUUCCAGGAAUCCCUGAUCUCACAACCCCAGAUUUUCUCCUUGCAGGAAUCCUCGGUUAAAUGGGUCCACUUUUUUUUUUUUCUCUAAGGCUUGCAGGAAUCCCUGAUGCCAUGGCCCCACAUUUUCUCCCCAAGGCUUCCAGGAAUCCCUGGUUCCACCAAGUAUUUUUUGGUCAAUGAAGUAUUUGGAAAGCAAUGAGAUUUUUGCAUCACUCUCACACAAUUUGCCUUGUGGGGAUCUGGAACUAUUAGGGCUGUCAGGUGUGACUGAACUAUGACAAGUCAAGAUAAGUCUUGUAUUUGUUGGUCAUUUAGAAGUGUCAAGCCAACAUAUUGCCAUAUUUUUAUGCUGGAAAAUGAAAAAUAAAUAUUAUGUUCAGAGAGCUUUUCUCAUCUUGCCAAUAUUUUGCAAGGAAGACCUGUUUGUAGGACCCAACUUCUGCAGUUUUCAAGAAAUAGGAGGUUUCAGUAAUCACUGAUGUCAUUUUACAUUAAGAAAUCUUUAUCUUCUUCCCCUUCCCCUGUUGUUUGAUUCUUUACAAUGAAAUGCAACUUUUUUAUUUUCCCCUUCCACUAUGAAAGACCAAAGUCCAAACCUCUUAGUGACUUGGCAGGUACAUUCUAGUAUAACAUGAGCAAAAUGAAACGUAAUAAAGGAAAACAUAAAAGGUUUUGUUGAGGCGUGAUGGUCGGGAAAAAUUAUAUGCAAGAUCAGGAAGCACUGACCUCUUGAAUGAGCCUGCAAAUGAGUAGUUAAUUGCAGGUGGAAGUUUUAUGAGGAUUGGAAGUGUCAAAAUGAUAAAUCCAAAAGAAGUGAUCAAGUCUCAGAGCCCUGCUUUUACAAGAAGUGUGUGCUGUGAAAUCCAUAAAGAAAUCCAUACCUCCACUGAGUGCAGCUGGCUUGGAGCAGUGUUUGUGUUCACAAGCAGAAUGGCAGAACCUUACUCCAGCCAAAAUGUGGGUGCACCUCAGAUCCUGCUGUCCUGCCUAGGCUUUAGUCUGUUGUGUGUUGGUAUGGAAGAGAACCUGUGCCUUUGAAGCAUUCAGAAAUAAAAUUUAAAAAAUUACUCAGACCCUCAGUUUUUAAUUUAGAGAGCUAUUAAUAGAUACAUAGUACUUAUGUUGCAGAUUCCUUAAAUAAAAAGAAAUAAGUGAAGGUGACCUACAGUGUUUGAGGUUCCCUCAGACCUCCUUUUGUUCUGUUGAUAAUUUUUUUCCUUCCUUUUUUCCCCUCUUCUUCCUUCUCCUUGCUUUUUGUGCUUCCUGUGAACAACAAGGUUUAAAUCAGAGACUGUAUCAUCUUUGCUUGACUAGGCUUAGUCUGAAGCCUCUGCCAUCUUUUAAUUAGUUUGUUUUUUGGGUAUUUUUUGUGUUUUGGGGUGUUUUUGUUUUUUGUUUGUUUGGGUUUUUUUGGUUUUUUGCCUGUGGGAGGGGUGAUGGUGAGAGAACACAUGGAACCCCAGAACCAGGGAAAGUGUUUUGUGAUUAAUUGUGUCACAAGGAAAACAAGGCUUUUUCAGUUCUGAUUUUUCCUUCCUUUUGCCCUGGAGCUGCCUGUGCAGGGCAGGGGGUGCUGAGAGCUGAGCUGUGCUUGGGGAAACAGCUCUGCAGUGCCUCUCCUUUGAGGAGAUGCUUUGUUUUUCUUUUCCAUCUUCCCCAGUUCAGGUAGGCAGCAUGCAGCCUGGGAAGGAGCAGAGGGAAGAGGAAGCCUCCCUGAUUCACUGUGGCACUCUGCUCCUCCUUUGAUUUCAGGAUGUGCAGCACACUGGAUCCCCCCUUUGUCUUUCUGACACCUCUCCAAAGCCCUCUUUACUGUGAUAUCUGAACAGAGCAUGAUCUUCAGCGUUGCUGUCUUCCCAGUGCUCCUCUAAAGCCAGUACAAACACACUCUUCAGUUCUAGUAACCAUGGAUUCUCUUUGUGAGCAAUUAUUUUUAUCAGCAUUUGAUGGACGUGAGGCUCAUGAUGGGAAGAAAAUUGUGUUUCAACACCAGCACCUCUCCAGCUUCCAUAACCUUUAUAAUUUUCUGCCAGCUGCCAUUUGCUUUUCAAGGCCUGUGGAAAUAUGGAUUAAAAACAGUCCCUGCCUUGGAGAUGUGGCACUUCCCUCUGCAAGGACUCCACUUAGAGGGAAGAUGAAGUCCCCAGGUGCAGAAAAUAGGAGGAAGCUCUGCUUGGUCAUCUGUCAUGACUGGUGGAAGAAGAUGAGGGGAAAAGAGUCAUCAUAAAGGCAUUGUUCUUCAUGAAAAAAAACGGGAGACAGCAAGCUCCAAGUGCCACGUGUGACAUUCCCACAGACAGGAGCUGUUUUUCCAUGUCAUGUCCCUG